rnacentral:rRNA from 1 species
AUUGCCUACGGGACGCAGCAGUCGAGAAUCAUUCACAAUGGGGGAAACCCUGAUGGUGCGACGCCGCGUGGGGGAAUGAAGGUCUUCGGAUUGUAAACCCCUGUCAUGUGGGAGCAAAUUAAAAAGAUAGUACCACAAGAGGAAGAGACGGCUAACUCUGUGCCAGCAGCCGCGGUAAUACAGAGGUCUCAAGCGUUGUUCGGAAUCACUGGGCGUAAAGCGUGCGUAGGCUGUUUCGUAAGUCGUGUGUGAAAGGCGCGGGCUCAACCCGGGGACGGCACAUGCUAUU